rnacentral:rRNA from 1 species
CGCGUAGGUGGUUUGUUAAGUUGGAUGUGAAAGCCCCGGGCUCAACCUGGGAACUGCAUCCAAAACUGGCAAGCUAGAGUACGGUAGAGGGUGGUGGAGUUUCCUGUGUAGCGGUGAAAUGCGUAGAUAUAGGAAGGAACACCAGUGGCGAAGGCGACCACCUGGACUGAUACUGACACUGAGGUGCGAAAGCGUGGGGAGCAAACA